rnacentral:piRNA from 1 species
UGAUUCAGGAACAGAAUAUGGACCACCAC